AAGGAAAAUAAAUAUUUCUGAGAAUUAUGGAAUUCUUGUAAAUGUAAAGUAUGUGGAGAAUGUAAAAUCUGACUAGAAAUUUCCUUUAAUAUAAGGAAUAUUUUUGUUUUAUGCAUACAUGGCUAAAGAAAGGAAGCAAUAAAAAUUAUUUAUUUAUUUAUUUAUUUAUUUAAAUUUUUAUACCGCCCUUCUCCCGAAGGACUCAGGGCGGUGUACAGCCAAAGAUAAAAACAGUAAAUGUACAAAAUUAAAAUAUCAAUUUAAAAUACAUAUUCAAUAGUGGCCGAAUUAAAACCGUCAGAUUGACCUAACCUAAAAUACCCCAUAUAAAAUUACAAAAGAUUAAAAAUUAAAAAUUAAAAAAUUAAAAAUUUAAAAAAUCAGUCCAGUCCCGCUUGAAUAAAUAAGUGAGUUUUUAAUUCCCGGCGAAAGGUCCGAAGGUCAGAUAUUUGGCGCAAACCGGGGGGAAGUUCGUUCCAGAGAGUAGGUGCUCCAACAGAGAAGGCCCUUCCCCUGGGGGCCGCCAGCCGGCAUUGCUUGGCGGACGGCACCCUGAGGAGACCCUCUCUGUGAGAGCGUACGGGUCGAUGGGAGGCAUAAGGUAACAGCAGGCGGUCCCGUAAGUACCCGGGCCCUAAGCCAUGGAGCGCUUUGAAGGUGGUAACCAAAACCCUGAAGCGCACCCGAAAGACCACAGGUAGCCAGUUAUUAAAUUAAUGUGCCUAUGUUUUCAAUAAUUAUCUCCAACAUAAAUACAGCUGUAUUAGGCUUUCUAUUCGAUGGUAUAUAGCAGAAUAAAGCAAAUAAUAAAAUAAAUAAUAAAAUAAAGCAGUAAGAAAUUAAUCCUUCAUUCUGAACUUUCAAUGCUGGUGUAAUAUUUCAGAUGUUAAGGCGAAUACAACACUCAUGUACAUAUUUAUAUACUUAUGAGCAAAUUAUUAGUAAAUUAUUAUAUGUAAUACAUGAUAAUUAAACUAAAUAUUCUGAGGCUUUUGUGCCCUAGAAGCAAUUGUAUGAUCAACAUCCCCAUAUGUUCCAGAAGACUAUUUGGACAAUUUCCAAAUCCCUAAAGAAGAAAACAGUUACACUAUUUCUUGUGUAAACAGUUACUGAGAAUGAAUACCAUAUGAACUUACAGAUAACAGAAUAAUUAUGAAAGCUGCAGUCUUAUGUUAAAAGCAGGUAUUGUAUAUUUCAUUUAUGGGAAAUGUUAUGGCUAUCAUAUUAGAUGUAAAAAAUUUAAGAGCAGGAACAAACAACUGCAGCAAACAGGUAAAUAAUAAUUAUAAUUGUAAUAAAGCAAAUGAGGAAAAUAAUAAAGGACAAUAAAAACACUUCAGAAUAAUUUUAUACUUUGAGCACUUAAAAUUCUAGAUCUACUUCAAAUAUUAUAAAAUUUUGUACAAAUGAUGUUCUCUAGAAAUUAAAUGGGAUUUGUAUAUGCCUUUAUGAUAUAUAGUAUCACAGUUUGUAUAAAACAUUGUAUACGUUUUUCCAGUAAUAAGCCUUCCCAUGGUAGCUGUGAUGAUGUAAUAAUGAAAGCCUUUUUCAAAUGACACGAGUAUUUCUAAUGUGAAGCGAUUUCAAAAAUUUUGGACAUGGAAGCACUUACAAGAGAGAUAAGUCAUUAAGAUGCUCAGUUGAUAAGUUUUACACACAAUGAACAAGAAACAUGCAAACUUCCAAAGUAUACUGAACUACCAUGGAAAAGAAAUCUAAGAGCAAAAUUGCUUCAUUAGAACCAGUGUGGAAUUAACAAUUUAGUAAGGAGACGUCAGGAUAUAUAUGCAAGAAUCAGAGGAGAGAGCGUAAAGCUAAAAGUAAUAUAAUUGAGCACAUUCCUACAGUUCUGUGAAAUACAUUUCCGAUACCGUAGUUUAUGCCGAUAACCCUAUAGAAAGUCAAGAGUUAUUGAAAUAAACGUAGGGAAAAAAGCAGGAUGCAAGAGAGAUGCUUUGAGGUAAUAUUUUUAUUCAAACUUUCUACCUACAGGUGAAACAAUCAUGGGCAACUAUUUAACUUUUGCUAAAUAGUAAACUUGCUAAAUAGUAAACUUGCAUCUAAAAACAGUCCAUAUUUAGAUAAUCAUUAAUAAAACUUUCCUGACCAGAGUUAUAAAUUGUUUAAUUGAGUCUUCCUGCAAGUUUAAAUCAUAUCCCUCUGAUAAGUAAUCACAUUCACAUCUAUAUAGGAUCUGGCUUCACUGUAAUAUGUAAACAUGAACUGUCACAAAUGUGUUUACAUUUGAUUUAAAUUUGAAAUAAAGAGAUUAAUCCUAGAGAAGAGGCAAUGGCAAGCUUAAUAAGCACAUUUCAAUAAGAUACUUGGAUAAUAAAGAUCAGAAUAAAGCAAGAAUUUUAUGGGUGUGCGUGUAAGAAAUAGCUAUGAAAGUUAUACACCAAGAAAGAAGUAUUUGGCUUCUGAAUUAUGGACAAGAAAUGAAUACUAAGAGUACUUACAAACAGCAAGAAAAAAAAUUAAUUAGUUUUGGAUGAAAUAAAGACUGAUUGUUCCUUUGAGAGGAUGAUCAAGCAAGCACACUUUGAGCAUGUGACGGGAGGUAAUUUUGGACCACAAACCUCUAUUAUGCUUGGCAAGGUUGAUAAAACUAUAAGAAGAGGAAUGCAAUCGUGUAGAUGGACAGCAUGAAAUAAAUUACUGAAAUGUCCUUGGAGGAGCUGCAACUUGUGACUAGAAACGGAUUGGAACGGUGGGCAUUUGUCCAAUCACCUGGAAUCAAACCAAGGCGGUGACAUUUAAUAACCACUAAGUAUCAUUAUCUAACACACUAUUUAAAAAAAAAAGCAUUAUACAACCGAUAAUCACAUAGGAGGGAAUAAAGAAAGAAAGAAAGAAAGAAAGAAAGAAAGAAAGAAAGAAAGAAAGAAAGAAAGAAAGAAAGAAAGAAAGAAAGAAAAGUGAACCCACUCCCCCUCUCAUUUGAAAACAAGGGAAGCCGAACACGUGAGGCUUUGCAAAGCACCUCCUGGAAUAGGGCACUGCACAAAACUUAACAUUUCCAGUUUCGAAAUGUUUUCCCUCCCGUGGCGACCAGCGAGCUUGCAACUUGCAAACAAGCAUCUGUGAAAGCGGAGGCAGGCGACCCUGGGAAGGCUUGCUCUGCGGAUGGGGAGCCCCGGAGAACAAGCCAGCGGGACCCAAGGACGGGACUGUCCUGCGCACCGCUGAGCAGCCAAGAAACAGGUCUUCUAUGUAAUUGCUCUGCACUCUGGCAUAGCAUUCAUCCUGAGAUUUCCAUGGAUUCCACCCUGAACAUUCAAGAAGAGGCCCACUCAUCUUUAAACCUGUUCUUUUCCCCAAGCCUUGGACUAAACUGAAUUGUGGAGUUCUGAAGAAUCCUCUGUCAGAGGGUGAAAAGUGCACAUUCAACACAGGCUGUUAUAUUGGAAAUAAACCCUUCCCACUGUGAGAUCAGGAUCCAACCACCACAGUCAGGAUUAUUUUCCUGAAAGAUGCCCCUCAUUUUUGGAAAUUGUUCUGGGCUAGAUGGUGAAUAUACUUCUGCAAAUACAUUCGGCAAGUGUUAUUUUAUCUCAAAUAAUUCCAUUCAAAUUUCUAAAACCAAGUAUAUGCUAAACCAAGAAAAAAAUGCUGAUACUGAAAUAUGUACGUUUUAUUAUUUUUUUUGAAAAAUGGCUGGAAUGCAUGUAAAGAAUGGUUUAAAUGCUAGCUGCUGGGGAGCAAACAGAUUAAUAGACUUCCUGUCAUGUGUGGGUUUCCAUCUGGGACACAGUACCAGUACCGUUCUGGGACACAGAAUGCUAGAUUACUUAUGGUUUUAGACUGCACACAGCAGGAUGCUUCCUAUCUUCUUAGAACUGUCCUUCAUAACGGGAUCAAAUGUUUCAAGAUGUGUUCUUUUAUUUGGCAUUUCAGAUGAGAUUAAUCAUCACAGGGAUAUUUUUGUUAACAAUUUCACAUAUUCCAGAUACUUUCUCCUGAUAUUCUAUGGGACUGAAGCAUGGGGCAGAAGAGGAAUAAAGGAAUUCGCUGUCCCAGGGAUAUAAUGAAGAACUCUGUUAGAUGCUGUUAACAUCAUAAUUCUUUGUGGAUGUAUUGUGAAAAGCUGAAGCAAAGGUUGCUUCAUUGACUAAAUGUAAGAAUUUGCCUUUUGUGUGAGUGAAUAGUUCUGUAGAGAACAAAACAAAAACCAUCUAACUCGAAGGAAGAAAAAAGAAAGAAAUGUUUUAGUUUGGAUUUAUGUAUGAUUCCACCACAACCACCACCCUUGUUACCUUGAUUUUUCAACUGGGCUGUUUUGGCUUUCUGAGUGCAAUCUUAUGAGUUCUUCAUUAUCAUAGAGGCCAAUGGAGUUUACUUCUGAAUAAGCAUGCAUAAGAUCAGCAUUUGCGUUAUACAUAAAUAGCUUACAGUCAUUGGUGGAUGUAAACUAGCAUACAUUUAUUGACUUCAGUGGUCCUUUGCCAGAUUUUAUUGACAAGGCCAAUAAAUUCCAGGGUUUGGUAAAUGAAUCACUAUAAUGGAAAAAAAAAGAAUGGCUAGACAGGAGUUGCAGGUCUGAAGUAUAUUAUUGACUAUGCUUUAUUUACAAAACCAAAAGAUUCAUACACUGCAAUCUAUGUGGCAGUGUAGGGCUGGAAUUAGGAAAAGAUACACAUGGGACAAGUAUCAGCAGGGACUUGUCAUCAUUCAGAGCUGAGGUCCUGAAAGAUGUGGGCAUCCUAAAAGUAAGCAGUAGGCAAUCCAGGCUGUUGUUGCAGUUAUGGUUUUGUUCAGGUAAGAGAGAGGUAUUGGUAUCUAAAUAGGGAAGAUGAGCCAGUGAUGUUUGGCCAUGCCACCAUUGAUGAAUCUUCCUGCAGGGACUUUCCAGAUCUUUACUUCCAGCGGCCUCCAACUUUGCCCUUGACUCCAGC